AAUCUUGUCUUGAAUUGGGAGAAGUGCCACUUUAUGGUUAAUGAAGGUAUUGUCUUGGGGCAUAAAAUUUCUGAAAGAGGUAUUGAAGUUGAUAAAGCUAAAGUAGAUGCUAUUGAAAAGAUGCCGUGUCCUAAAGAUAUCAAAGGUAUAAGAAGUUUCCUUGGUCAUGCUGGUUUCUAUAGGAGGUUUAUUAAAGACUUCUCUAAAAUUUCUAGGCCUCUCACUAAUCUCUUACAAAAAGAUAUUCCUUUUUUUGAUGAUGAUUGUGUAGAAGCAUUUGAAAUACUUAAUAAAGCCUAG
rnacentral:rRNA from 1 species